rnacentral:rRNA from 1 species
CUACUACCGAUUGAAUGGCUCAGUGAGGCUCUCGGACUGGCUCAGGGAGGUUGGCAACGACCACCCCGAGCCGGAAAGUUUGUCAAACUCGGUCAUUUAGAGGAAGUAAAAGUCGUAACAAGGUU